rnacentral:lncRNA from 1 species
CUGUCCAUUGGGGGGAUCAUCAUUCUGAAGGACACCAGUGAAGAUGUGGAGGAGCUGGUCGAGCCAGUGGCAGCCCACGGCCCAAAAAUUGAGGAGGAGGAGCAGGAGCCAGAACCACCAGAACCUUUUGAGUACAUCGAUGAUUAAGACCCAGAGGAUCUUCAGUCAUCCAUCUAUAGAUGAUUGCUCUGUUACUGGAAUCACAUCUAUGAGGAAAUUCAACCCAAGACCUGAAGUUCAAUGCAUGCAACAUCACCUCUGUGCUGACUUAAAGAAGCGAGUCUCUGUGUAUGGGGUUGAAGAAAAGCUAUAUGGCUACUUAGUGUACUCUUUCACAAACCUUGGUUUUCAAAUAAAUAUAUUAAAAAUCUCCCAGUUGGCAAGGGGUUUUUGUCUUGGAGCCUGGGUUUUUUGGAAGAGGGUAACAUCAUCCUUCCUCUACAGCCUGAAACGACCACGCCAAGGGAGCCAAAUUCCUCGUUGCCUGUAGCUUUUAAGUUAACCCCCUUGUAAGAGGGAUGUUAAGCAGGUAAUGUUUAUUAUUAUUACGACUAGUAGUAAUAAUAGUAGUUUUCAAGUGACUAUUAUGUGUAAAGGACUGGGCUAGAUACAAGCUAAUCAGGUUGGACACAGACCCUGUCCUAUACGGGGCUCACAGUCCUAUCCCCCAUUUUACAGAUGAGGUAGCAGGCACUGAGAAGUGAAGUGACUAGCCCAAGGUCUCCCAGCAGUCCAGUGGCGGAGGGGGGAUUAGAACCCAGGCCCUACCGACUCCCAGGCCUGUGCUCUGUCCACUAGGCCUACAUCUCUAGGGUCACAGGCUGAGGGAAGCGGUCAGCCGCAUGAUCGGGGGGCAACUUGCAGUUUUUUCAAACAUCCUGUUGCCACUCUUAGAUAACAGCUGGGUUGGAUUAACCACGGGUCUAACCCAAUUUUGGCAUUAUGUCCUUUUGAUAUGAGUGAGGAGUGUUCUUCUAAGCAAGCUGCCUAGUAAUCAUCUUUCAAAGUAACCCUUUCGUAUUGCUGCUUCCUUCAGCUCUUGUUCAGAGUAAUAUUGAUUGCUAAUUGAAGGCAUCUAUAUUCAGCCAGACCGGAUUUAGGUUAUCGUAAUUGCUAGGGAAGCAGAGCGGCUUAGUGGCUAGAGCAUGGGUCUGCAAGUCAGAGGACCUGGCUUCUAAUCCUAUCCCCGCUCCUUGUCUGCUGUGUGGCCUUGGGCAAGUCAUUUAACUUCUCUGGGCCUCAGUUUCCUCAUCUGAGAAAUGGCAUUUAAUACUUGUUCCCCCUCCUAAUUAGACUGCGAACCCCAUGUGGGACCUGAUUAUCUUGAAUACUUUGAGAUUGAGGUGCAGGUGCAGGAGUGCAGGGCAACCUCGAGUUUGAGCCAUUUAGAGUAUGC